GUCUACAGCCAUGCCACCCUAAAUGUGCCCAAUCUCAAAUCUCAUCUGAUCUCGGAAACUAAGCUGGGUGGGGCCUGGUUAGUACUUGGAUGAGAGACCACCUAGGAAUACCAGGUGCUAUAGGCC
rnacentral:rRNA from 1 species